rnacentral:rRNA from 1 species
UACGUAGGGCGCAAGCGUUGUCCGGAAUUACUGGGCGUAAAGGGCUCGUAGGCGGCCAACUAAGUCAUACGUGAAAUCCCUCAGCUUAACUGGGGAACUGCGUGUGAUACUGGAUGGCUUGGAUUUGGGAGAGGGAUGCGGAAUUCCAGGUGUAGCGGUGAAAUGCGUAGAUAUCUGGAGGAACACCGGUGGCGAAGGCGGCAUUCUGGACCGAUAUUGACGCUGAGGAGCGAAAGCCAGGGGAGCAAAGCGGG